AGAGUUUGAUCCUGGCUCAGGACGAACGCUGGCGGCGUGCCUAAUACAUGCAAGUCGAGCGGACCCUUCGGGGUUAGCGGCGGACGGGUGAGUAACACGUGGGCAAUCUGCCCAUCAGCCUGGAAUAACACUCGGAAACGAGUGCUAAUGCCAGAUAAUCCUUGACCGGGCAUCCGGACAAGGUAAAAGGUGCAACUGUACCACUGAUGGAGGAGCCCGCGGCGCAUUAGCUAGUUGGUGGGGUAAUGGCCCACCAAGGCAACGAUGCGUAGCCGACCUGAGAGGGUGACCGGCCACACUGGGACUGAGACACGGCCCAGACUCCUACGGGAGGCAGCAGUAGGGAAUCUUCCGCAAUGGGCGAAAGCCUGACGGAGCAACGCCGCGUGAGCGAAGAAGGCCUUCGGGUUGUAAAGCUCUGUUGCUCGGGGAGAGCGAUAAGGAGAAUGGAACGCUCCUUAAGAGACGGUACCGAGUGAGGAAGCCCCGGCUAACUACGUGCCAGCAGCCGCGGUAAUACGUAGGGGGCAAGCGUUGUCCGGAAUCACUGGGCGUAAAGCGUGCGUAGGCGGUUGUGUAAGUCUGGAGUGAAAGUCCAAGGCUCAACCUUGG
rnacentral:rRNA from 1 species